UGAUGAUCUAGUGAGAGAAAAUGGUGUGCGAGGAGAGAGAUAGAGGGAGAGAUUUGAACGCAAGCUUUAUAGAGGCGCUUUGGAGAAAUUAUAGAGAGAGAGAGAUAAGAGGCAAUUACACAGAGAGAGAGAGAGAGAGAGAGAGACAGAGGGCGGGUCUGGGUGAUAUAUAUAUAGUGCUGAGGGAGACCGUGCACCGAAGUCCAUGUUUAGAAAAAUGGGCCGCGACUUGCAUGGAAAUUACAGUAAAACGCUUAUGCUACUACUGGCUCGGCUUGGCUUUGGCAAGGUGUUGGAUUGAAUUAUCCACCGUGGCACUGAUUCGGACCUGGGCCCCACUCUUUUUUCACCAAUAUCCAGCAUACGGUAUGGGUUUCGCUUCUGUAUACUCACUCAUAUCCAUGGUUUCAGCAAUUACAUCUCACUCCUUAAAUUUAAAAUA